GAUCGAGUCAGUUAAGCCAGUCUCUAAGACACAGUGGAGAUGGAUUUCUCACUUCUGUUUUUGGUGACCUUCUUUGUGUUGUUUGAUGGGUCCUGCGGAGAUAUCAUCAUGACUCAGUCUCCCUCAAGUCUUUCUGCACGGCCAGGAGAAACUGUCAGCAUGAACUGUAAAGCCAGCAGUUCCAUUACUGGCAGCUAUAAAAAUCUUGCCUGGUAUCAGCAGAGAGCAGGAGAAGCUCCAAAACUGCUGAUUUAUGAAGUAAGCACUCUGCAGUCUGGGAUCUCAAGUCGCUUCAGUGGCAGUGGCUCAGGACUUGAUUAUACGCUGACCAUCAGUAGCGUGCAGCCUGAAGAUGCAGGACAUUACUACUGUAUGCAGAGCUACAGCUAUCCUCUCACACAGUGA